rnacentral:rRNA from 1 species
UACGAAGGGGGCUAGCGUUGCUCGGAAUCACUGGGCGUAAAGCGCUCGUAGGCGGCCUCUUAAGUCGGUGGUGAAAUCCUGGAGCUCAACUCCAGAACUGCCUUCGAUACUGAGAGUCUCGAGUCCGAGAGAGGUGAGUGGAACUGCGAGUGUAGAGGUGAAAUUCGUAGAUAUUCGCAAGAACACCAGUGGCGAAGGCGGCUCACUGGCACGGUACUGACGCUGAGGUGCGAAAGCGUGGGGAGCAAACAGG